CCUCUGCCCCGCCUCAAAAUGUCUCCUUGUCCGUCAACGGGUCCAAAGUCAGCGUGCUCUGGCAGCCGCCUCCUGCUGACUGGCAGACUGGACCCAUCCUGGAGUAUGAGGUUAAGAUGUCCUGCAAUGCUACUGAACUGCUGAUGAAUGAAGUGACUGUGGCUGAGAAUUCCACUGUGCUGGAGGGACUGCCUCAGGGGGUCUGGUGCACAGUGUCUGUAGCAGCCGUCACCUCUGAUGGUGUGGAGGCCUGGAGUGAACCAAAGCCUUUUUUUAUCCGUCUCUCAGGUCCCUCGGGGAUCACUGGUACUGGUAAGCUCAAGGGCUAAAUGAAAAUUGGGGAGAAAUCCAUCAAUCGAAUUAAAAAUAGAUUUUCAUUGAAA